UUUAUGGAGAGUUUGAUCCUGACUCAGGAUGAACGCUGGCGGCGUGCCUAAUACAUGCAAGUCGAGCGAACGGACGAGAAGCUUGCUUCUCUGAUGUUAGCGGCGGACGGGUGAGUAACACGUGGAUAACCUACCUAUAAGACUGGGAU
rnacentral:rRNA from 1 species